CUUUACUUGUUUGCACAUAAGAAAUAAAGCACUCCACACGACUGUGAGGCAGGGGCACACAAUCAUGGACAGCAUGGAAGGACUUGGAUGAGAUGACACACAAAGAAUACUGAGUUUACUGAGUUUACUGUGACGCCACAGCCCCAGCCCUCAGGUGCUCACAUCCCUGUGCCAAUCCUGCUGGAGAUGGGGGACGAGAUGGGUUAAGGCAGAAAACAAAGGGGAUGUCUUGAGCACGGGAAGAGACUGCAGGCAUCACACAGGGACCCAUCUUAAAACAGCUCCUUUUACACUUUAUAUUUAAAAAAAAAUAUCCUGGUAGGCAGGAAAGACAGCAGAGGAGGAGAUACAGACUGAAAGCUAAUUCUCUGUUAGCUUCAUCAGAGCUGAAAGGAGCAGAGAGGGAACGUGAAGACAAAGUCAUCACACACUAAACUUGUGAGAAUUUAAAGCAAAGGAUGCUGAAACAGAAAGGCUCCUCAUUACUUUCACUACUCCUACUAUUUACAACUGCUCUACUACCAGAUAUACCAUCACUCUGGGUUUUCUUGACAACAGAU